rnacentral:misc_RNA from 1 species
GAUGAAGAACGCAGCGAAAUGCGAUAAGUAAUGUGAAUUGCAGAAUUCAGUGAAUCAUCGAAUCUUUGAACGCACAUUGCGCCCCCUGGUAUUCCGGGGGGCAUGCCUGUCCGAGCGUCAUUACAACCCUCAAGCUCAGCUUGGUGUUGGGCCCCGCCGCCCCGGCGGGCCCUAAAGUCAGUGGCGGUGCCGUCCGGCUCCGAGCGUAGUAAUUCUUCUCGCUCUGGAGGUCCGGUCGUGUGCUCGCCAGCAACCCCCAAUUUUUUUCAGGUUGACCUCGGAUCAGGUAGGGAUACCCGCUGAACCUAAGCAUAUCAAUAAGCGGAGGA